CCCUAGUAACGGCGAGUGAAGCGGGAACAGCUCAAAUUUGAAAUCUGGCCCUUGGGUCCGAGUUGUAAUUUGUAGAGGAUGCUUUUGGUGCGGUGCCUUCCGAGUUCCCUGGAACGGGACGCCUUAGAGGGUGAGAGCCCCGUACGGUUGGACGCCUAGCCUCUGUAAAGCUCCUUCGACGAGUCGAGUAGUUUGGGAAUGCUGCUCUAAAUGGGAGGUAUAUUUCUUCUAAAGCUAAAUACUGGCCAGAGACCGAUAGCGCACAAGUAGAGUGAUCGAAAGAUGAAAAGCACUUUGAAAAGAGGGUUAAAUAGCACGUGAAAUUGUUGAAAGGGAAGCGUUUAUCACCAGACUUUUUCUGGGGGGAUCAUCCGGUGUUCUCACCGGUGCACUUCCCCCAGUUGAGGCCAGCAUCGGUUUUCGGAGGGGGAUAAAAGUUUCGGGAAUGUGACUCCCUCGGGAGUGUUAUAGCCCGUUACAUAAUACCCUUCUGGGGACCGAGGUUCGCGCAUCUGCAAGGAUGCUGGCAUAAUGGUGAUCAACGACCCGUCUUGAAACACGGACCAAGGAGUCGAACAUUUAUGCGAGUGUUUGGGUGUUAAACCCUCACGCGUAAUGAAAGUGAACGGAGGUGAGAGCCCUUACGGGUGCAUCAUCGACCGAUCCUGAUGUCUUCGGAUGGAUUUGAGUAAGAGCAUAACUGUUCGGACCCGAAAGAUGGUGAACUAUGCGUGGAUAGGGUGAAGCCAGGAGAAAUCCUGGUGGAGGCUCGCAGCGUUUCUGACGUGCAAAUCGAUCGUCAAAUCUGCGCAUGGGGCCGAAAGACUAAUCG
rnacentral:rRNA from 1 species